ensembl:lncRNA
AAAAAAGCUUGUGGCAACUGUCUUCUCUGAGCAGCGGUCUUGUGAACAUGGGCCUCAGUACAAUAAAGAACCCAGAUUCGUCAGAACUGCACACCCAUCUUAGGCCUACUGUACCUGUUUUACUUCAUGAUCACUGCAGAUACUUCUACAAUUGACCCACUUUGUGUCUGAUGUUGGUACAGUCUGGGCACUAGUAUCUGUUGGCUUGCUGACUAUCACUGAAGAUGAAGUACUUCUCCAAAUCUUCUCUGCCUUGACCCUGUGUCUUCUGUCAUCAUUGUUCAGUGUAGUACUGCAAAGAACAGUUUCCAGGGUCUACCUCCAACAUUUGCUUCUGGACCGCCAUGUGCUACGUUUGGAUUACUGGUACAUGUGGAUUACCCUGAUACUGUGAAGAACACUUACAAUAUGAUGCUUGACUUGGGACAGAAAAAAAAAAUUGGCAACUUGUGUGGCC